rnacentral:lncRNA from 1 species
GAUGUUGUAAUUUGGGAAUGUUACGUUGGGAAAUCUGUGCUGUUUAGAAUUAUGGUAUUUAAUUGUUCCUGGCUCUUUUUUUGUUAGUUCUUGUGUUCCUGGCUCUUAAAAAGGUACUGCGUAAAAGAAGUUAUGAUGUCUUAACAGUUCAUUUAAACUUUAUUUAGAAAUAUGCUUCAAUUCAACACUUUUGAGCACUUCUGGGUAAAUACUUCUUCAAAGCAGGGUUUAUUUUAGUAGUGGAAUAGAGUAUUUAUAUCAGAGAAAAGCCUGAUAAAAAGAAUAAGCAGUGGUUAAUUUUUUGUAUUUUAGAAUUUUAGGGAGCCUCUAGGGCCAUAUUAAUUUUACCUUUGAGGUCCAUGUCUUUCCAGGGUCCACAGCAGUAGCCACUGUCCUC